GUGGCAGUCGUGGUGGAUAAGGUGAUUGACUGGAGAUCAAAAGGUCCCCGGUUCGAUCCCCAGCUCCACU